GUCCACGCCGUAAACGAUGGAUACUAGCUGUUCGGAUCAAUCUGAGUGGCUAAGCGAAAGUGAUAAGUAUCCCACCUGGGGAGUACGCACGCAAGUGUGAAACUCAAAGGAAUUGACGGGGGGCCCGCACAAGCGGUGGAGCAUGUGGUUUAAUUCGAUGAUACGCGAGGAACCUUACCAGGGCUUAAAUGUAGAUUGACAGGACUGGAAACAGUUUUUUCUUCGGACAAUUUACAAGGUGCUGCAUGGUUGUCGU
rnacentral:rRNA from 1 species